GGCUAGGACAAUGGUUGGCUUGUGAAGCGUGUCAGAUCUGGAAGGAAGCAGCACUAAGCGAGUUCAGCCAUGUGUCUUAUUAAAU
rnacentral:SRP_RNA from 1 species